rnacentral:lncRNA from 1 species
CCAUCAAACUACACUUUUUUUAAAUCGGGUACCUAUACUGCUUUUUAGAGCAAAAGGCCAUGAAGGUUAGUCCUUCGUUCAUAACUCGAAACAUCAUUGAUCACAGGGUCAUGAAUAGAGAAAGGGAAAUCUAACCCAAACGUGAGAGUAUCCUCACCCUAUAAGCCCACACGACUAAGAUGGUCUCAACUUUAUUACUUGAAUAGGCUACAUAAGAAGAAACCAACGAGUCAAAUAAAACAUCCAAGUUUUUGGUCUUCAACAAAAAAUGGCCAGAAAUAGAUAAAUCAAGACAAUCAGAUCAAAGUUUAUUAACAAGUGAGACAACAUCACUUGACGAAAGCCCAUGGAAUGUGGCAAAAGAAACCCACCUAUAACUGCACCAGCCUCCACCCAAGCUGGUUUCAUGCACUCAACCACCCUUUGCGUACAUCUGUCACGCAGAAAACCAUCCGAAUCCUGAAUCACCAGUCCAAUGCCCAUUCAUCUAGCCACCGGAUCUCAGGCCAGAUCAACAUUCACCUUGAAGACCCCUUGGAUGGGCGGAGACCACUGAACCUCACGCAUCCUCAGUGGUAGCAUGGAGGCAUGAGUCAAGUUAAUGGGCACAAAAUGCUUCAUUUAGCUCCCUCGCCUGAAGCUAAAAUGACAUGAGGUACCGUGCUAUAAAUUCCAAAUUAUCAUGACCGCAUUAUCAUGGACAUUCCAUAAAUUCCAAAGGAGCACCAAAAGGUCUAUAAAGGCAGCUUUGUCAAGUGACCGCAUGGCCAUUUCCAACCAAUCUAUGCAACUAAACACACAUGCAUUCAACAGAGCAUUAUCCAGGCCAGCUAAAACAAGGGUGUCAUGUGAUACCUAGUAGUUCCUCAAGGCAUGUAGGAUGGUCUUAGCUGGAAACCCACAUCUUUGAUAGCUAGCAUCAUUAGCAAGGGGAAUCGAGGCAAUCUUAGCUGUUGUAGGCAAGAGCUCAUGUCCAACCCGCUAUGUGAAAACCUUGAUCUUUGGGAGGGUUUGCACUUUCCAGAUGGCCUUCCUAAAGAAACCAUAUGGACCGAAACCUACACCCUGAAGCAAUAACCAAUUAUAACAACUAUUUGGGGAGUGGCUCCAAACAAGUGUAUCAGCUGGGCCCAGGCUAGUCAUCGGGAUAGAAAGGAUGCGCUCUGCCACAUCCAAUGUAAAAGCCUGCCGCACCAACUCCCUAUCCCACCCCCACCAUCCGUCCGCAACAACUCACUAACCACCGCCUCCCUUGGCAACACACCAUUAUAGCUCAACGAAUGGCCAUCCAAACCUUCCAACCCCCACCCAUCAUGCCAUAUUCGGAUAGACG